rnacentral:rRNA from 1 species
CGGCCACACUGGAACUGAGACACGGUCCAGACUCCUACGGGAGGCAGCAGUAGGGAAUCUUCCGCAAUGGGCGAAAGCCUGACGGAGCAACGCCGCGUGAGUGAUGAAGGUCUUCGGAUCGUAAAACUCUGUUAUUAGGGAAGAACAUAUGUGUAAGUAACUGUGCACAUCUUGACGGUACCUAAUCAGAAAGCCACGGCUAACUACGUGCCAGCAGCCGCGGUAAUACGUAGGUGGCAAGCGUUAUCCGGAAUUAUUGGGCGUAAAGCGCGCGUAGGCGGUUUUUUAAGUCUGAUGUGAAAGCCCACGGCUCAACCGUGGAGGGUCAUUGGAAACUGGAAAACUUGAGUGCAGAAGAGGAAAGUGGAAUUCCAUGUGUAGCGGUGAAAUGCGCAGAGAUAUGGAGGAACACCAGUGGCGAAGGCGACUUUCUGGUCUGUAACUGACGCUGAUGUGCGAAAGCGUGGGGAUCAAACAGGAUUAGAUACCCUGGUAGUCCACGCCGUAAACGAUGAGU